UACGUAGGGGUCGAGCGUUAUCCGGAAUUACUGGGCGUAAAGCGCGUGCAGGCGGUGGGGUAAGUCGGACGUGAAAGCUCCUGGCUCAACUAGGAGAGGUCGUUCGAAACUGCCCGGCUAGAGGACGGUAGAGGCGAGUGGAAUUCCCGGUGUAGUGGUGAAAUGCGUAGAUAUCGGGAGGAACACCAGAGGCGAAGGCGACUCGCUGGGCCGCUCCUGACGCUCAGACGCGAAAGCUAGGGGAGAGAACGGG
rnacentral:misc_RNA from 1 species